rnacentral:lncRNA from 1 species
UUGACUAGAGAACCAAGAAAGAAACCAGAAUGUGCACAUCUAUGGAAACACGAAAGUAGGAGAGCAGGAAGAAAAGAGCAUGGUGUCUCAGCUUGUCUGGAACUUGAAGUAAAUUGAAAGAGUGGGAAAAGGAUGCAGUAGCUCAUGGGUGACUCUGCUCCAACGCAUCAUACAAGUAUUACUGACUGGCACACUAGCUGUCUCCCUUGUCAUUUUGAAGGUAAGUUACAAAAUGGUUCUCAGAAUGGGCUUCUUCACAAAAGGAAUAUCUCCUAAUCUCAGCUGCGUUUGUAGUCCAAUUCUACAUACUUAAGUAAUUCAGUAACAGCAGUUUUUCCAUCUGUCUUCACUCGACAAGGAACUCACAUUUUUCAGGCAGAAAAACGGUCCGAGAAAAUUUUAGGUGUCAAGAAUUAAAAACUGAAUCACUUGCAGAUGAGACUUCAUGUACUUUAUUAAGUUUUCUUCUGUUUCUAGCUGGACCGAAGUCCCAGCCAGAACUGUACACAAUCUAGUGCAUGAAUAAUCACAGAAUCAUUUAGGUUGGAAAAGACCCUCAAGGUCAUGAAGUCCAUUGGUAAAUGUAGCUACUAAUAAAAUUAUAAAAGUAUUAAGUGCA